ensembl:lncRNA
CUGGAGAUCAUGCUCGAGCAAUCCAGAGGGCACCUACUAUGAUUUAGUCAUCUGUCUUCCUUAAACCUAGUACAAGGACUGCCAAAAUGCCUUUCCUUUAACUGUCAUUUUAUUUAGUCUAAUCUGUCUCAUUUUUAUAGACAAAGAAAAGUGACGUUCAGGAAGGUUACGUCCUUCUAAUAUGUGGCAGAGCUGAGAUUAGAAUCCAAGGAAAGUGGCCUAGCCGUUAUGGAAAACAGUUACAAUAAUAAGCCCAAAAGUGAAAGAUAACUCCCAUAUGAUCCGGCAUCCCCACUUCUGGGAAAUAAGCCAAAGGAAAUGAAAUCAGUAUGUUGAAGUGCUCUCUGUACCCCAGUGUUCAUUGCAGCAUUAUUUGAAACUACCAAGAAAUAGAAGAAUCUGUGUCAAAUGACAGAUGAAUAAAGGUGGAUAACAAAUCUAUGGUGUGUGUAUAUAUAUAUGUAUGUGUAUAUAUAUAUAUAUUCAUAUGUAUUCUAUAUGUAUAUGUAUGGUGGCAUAUUAUUCAGCCAUGAGAAAGAAGGAAAUCCUCCCAUUUGUGACAACAUGGAUGAAGCUUGAGGGCAUAUGCUAAGUGAGAUACUUCAGAUAAAGACAAAUAGUGUACGAUCUCACUUGUAUGUGGAAUCUAAAAAUGCCAAACUCUUGGAGGAAUGUUUGUUGUUUGAGGAGGGAGGGGGUUGGGGAGGUAUUGGUCGAAGGACAUAAACAUAAGAUGACUAAGUUCUAGGGGUCUAAUAUAUAGCAUGGUGACUCUAAUACCAUAGAGUAUUGUAAUGUAUACUUGAGAGUUGUUACCAGAGUAGAUCUUACAUGUUUUGACCACAAAAGGAAAGAAAAGGGUAAUGAUAUGAGGUGGAAGAUGUGUGAACUAACCUUAUUAUGGAAAUUCUUCUAUAGCAUACUUUGUUGUUGUUAUUUAGUUGCUCAGUCAUGCCUGACUCUUUGGAGACCCCAUGGACUAUCACCCAUCAGGCUCCUCUGCCCAUGGGAUUUCCCCGGCAAGAAUACUGGAGUGGAUUGCCAGUUCCUUCUCCAGGGGACCUUCCUGACCCAGGGAUUGAACACUCAGACCCAUGUCUCCUGCAUUGGCAGGAAGAUUCUUCAUGGCUGAGCUCCAGGGAAGCUCCAAAAAGGACCCUCAGAGACCCGCCAGACUGGACCAAGGCCUCUGGAGCCCUUCCCAAGAACCUUCUUGCUUGGAAGAUUAGCAGUUUCUUCUCAAGCAUCGCUCUCAACUUGGCUAAACACCUUGAAACAGUUCCAGCAAGACGUAUGUCCCUCAGAUCCCAGGGCAGGUAGGCGCUUGUGCGCAUCCAGUGCUUCUGCUCGUAGCCAUGUGGUCCUGACCACCUGGCAGUUACUGUGUAUAUUACUUACAUACGUGUGCAUAUGUAAGUGUGUAUGUGUGCUGUGCUUAGUUGCUCAGUCAUGUCUGACUCUGCAACCCCUUGUACUGUAGCCUGCCAGGCUCAUCUGUCCAUGGGAUUCUCCAGGCCAGAAUACUGGAGUGGGUUGCCAUGCCUUCCUCCAGGGGGUCUCCCCAACCCAGGGAUUGAACUCAGGUCUCCCAGGUUGCAGGUGGAUUCUUCACCAUCUGAGGCACCAGAGAGUGAGUAUAUGUGUAUGUACAUAUCUAUGUUUAUGUGCCUGUGGUUUAAAAAGUGUUGUUUCUAGAAUUUACCAUAACUACUGCUGUGUGUGUACCCCCAGAAGUCAUAGGUUGAAAUCUUAACUGCAUAUCGUAUAUAUUUAUAAAAUGCAUGUAUUAUAGUGAAGGGCAGGGAAUCCAGUGUGCUACAGUCCAUGGGGUCACAAUGAGUCCAACAGGACUUAGUGACUGGCCAACAACAAUGCAUAUGUAUGUGUGAGUGUAUGUGUCUAUGCAUGUAUAUGUUUAUAUAUCUGUGGUUAAAACCCACUCCAGUAUUCUUGCUUGGAGAAGUCCAUGGACAGAGGACCCUGGCAGGCUAUAGUCCAUGGGGUCACAAAGAGGGGGACACGACUGAGAGACUAACAUUUUACUUUUCAUUGUUUAGUUUUAGAUGAAAAAGGAGAGUUUCUAUCUUUGGCAUGUGACUAAUGACUAUGUUUAUGCUUCUAAGAAAGGAUUAAUUUUUCAGUUCACAGGAAAAUAAGAGUGGGGAAGAGGAAGAUUUAUGGAGGAGCGAUAUAAGAGUGAAACGAGAGAUGGAGUUUAAAAGUGUGCCUGUGUGUUAGUAUAUUUGAGUUUGAUAAUAAGGAUAGUGAAGAACAGGAAGAGAAAAGCUGUGAGUGCUUGAGUCCCCUUAAUGGGAAGAAUAGAGGUCUGCGGAAAACAUAGGCAUCAUGUUACUCUCUCAUGACCAUGCAGUGGCACUGUUGACAGGAGACAGCUUCCUGCUGUCACUUCCAAAUUAUGGUGUGUGCAUUCUAGGGAAGUGCAAGACUGUCCCUUAAGAUGCCUGAAGAAAACAUUUUGUUGUUGUUGUUUAGUCGCUAAGUCGUGUCUGACUCUUUGGCAACCCCAUGGAGUGUAGCCUGCCAAGCUCCUCUGUCCAUGGAAUUUCCCAGUGCUAUUUCCUUCUCCUGGGGAUCUUGCCUGCCCAGGGAUCGAACUAGCAUUUCCUCCAUCAGCAGGUGGAUACUGUACACUGAGUCACCAGAUAUUAGAACUCCAAAUUCUAUUAAGAUUUUAUCUUGAGAAAUACAAAUACACUAAACUUUGCUAGUAGUGAAUAUAUGAUUGAUACUGGCUCCGGCAGUGGCACCCCACUCCAGUACUCUUGCUUGGAAAAUCCCAUGGACGGAGGAGCCUGUUAGGCUGCAGUCCAUGGGGUCGCUAAGAGUUGCAUACGACUGAGCGACUUCACUUUCACUUUUCACUUUCCUGCAUUGGAGAAGGAAAUGGCAACCCACUCCAGUGUUCUUGCCUGGAGAAUCCCAGGGACGGGGGAGCCUGGUGGGCUGCCGUCUCUGGGGUCGCACAGAGUCGGACAGGACUGAAGUGACUUAGCAUAGCACUGGCUCCGUCACUCAUCACUUAAGUAGAGGAUUCUGCAUCACGUGGUCUGCAAGAGGAGUGGGAGCUCUGUAACUCAGAGUUGGUGGCAGCUACCUCAUUCUGAGCUUACAGUGACGUAUUGUAGUUUGCAUGUUCUUGGUGAAAUGGAUUUAUACACUAUAUUACUGAUUAUGAUAAUUUAACACUCUUAAAAUGUAUAAGUGACUUAAAAUGUUUCCUGCAAAGAAACUGCUGGUCAAGAUGGUCCUAAUAAUUCAAGUCAAUAAUAACAACAAUGGAAAAAUGGAAAAACAGCAUGCCCCAUCCUGGUUUGAACUUUUUCUCAGAUAUAUUGUGAGCUAAAAACAGUGGCUAUUGGUGAUAUGUUAUCUAGCAGCUUUUUUUUUUUUUUUUUUAGAAAAUAUACCCACUUAGUCAAUCUUUUUGAAAUGAAAGUGAUAUUUUUGGUAAUAAAUGAGGAAAUAAUGGCCUUUGAAGAAAACUC